AGCUCUGUGGUGUAUGCCACGUCGGAUUGCAAAUCCGAAGGUGCAGGCUUACUGCCUGCCGGGGCUU
rnacentral:tRNA from 1 species